rnacentral:rRNA from 1 species
AGACGGAGGGGGCUAGCGUUGUUCGGAAUUACUGGGCGUAAAGCGCGCGUAGGCGGAUUGAUCAGUCAGAGGUGAAAUCCCAGGGCUCAACCCUGGAACUGCCUUUGAUACUGUCAGUCUUGAGUUCGAGAGAGGUGAGUGGAAUUCCGAGUGUAGAGGUGAAAUUCGUAGAUAUUCGGAGGAACACCAGUGGCGAAGGCGGCUCACUGGCUCGAUACUGACGCUGAGGUGCGAAAGCGUGGGGAGCAAACAGGAGUAGAAACCCCAGUAGUCC